GCAUGGAUGAACACUGUGUACUUCAGUCAGUAAUUUAUACAGACAGACACCAUACAAAGUAAUGUCUUCCAGAGCCAGGCGGCGUGCACGCCUUUAAUCCCAGCACUUGGGAGGCAGAG
rnacentral:snoRNA from 1 species